GUUCAUUACAGUACAUGUACAAAAACCCAAACGACAACAAAACCCAACAACCAAAAAUCAAAAGAGUACUUUAGAUCUGCACAUUCUCCUUCAUCAUCUUCUUCUCCAAGUGCAUCUCCAGCUGGUCUUGCUCAAGAUGGAGCUACAACUUCUUUGAAUCUUCGAUUUCAGAAUUUGAUCACUGGCAUGCUGAAUUUAUUUUGGUGUUGCUUUGUGUGCCACAAUGUCCUGUAGCUGUGCAAUUAGUGAUUUUUUUACCAGCUGCUUCUGAAUUGAAUCUCCAGGAUCUAUUGCUGCUAACUCUCCUGGGAUUAGAUUGCGAAGUUGCUCGAUAUAUGGCAUUCCAUAGGAGAAUUUUCCAACAACUGCAUAUUGUAGAUUCUCAAUGUUAUUCAUACGAACCACCUCUUCCUCAGUCCAUUUGAGAUAUGGUACUCCAUGAAGAAAAGAAAUCUUCUUAAUUGGAAUUGGAGUUACUGCUUGUGUCUUCCUGUGAUUGAUUUCAUUUAAAAUUGUAGGAUUCAAUAGAUCAGCAAAUGUUACUUUGUUCACGCUUGGUUCUUUGAUUACCCCUUCUGUUUGUUUUGUCGUUGUGUUGUGUUGGUCAGUCACUCCGGUGGACUAACCAACUUCCAUAGAGGCCAUUGCCGUAGCAGACUUUAAAUAUAAGAUCAUAAGUCAUAACUAAUGUGAGUGUGGGUACGUGAAUAUAUUAGCUCAAAUAUUUGUUUGUUCUCCAAUUUUUUCAACAAUAAGUAAAACCAGUGUGAAUAUGAGAAUUUAGAAACUCAUCACU